GAGCUGGCUUUAUCCCAGCAGUUCCUUUGAUGACUUAGCGUUGUUUCUUCUCAUUGGUGGUUUGAAUCCUGGGACCAUCCAGAAGCUGCAGGCACUUCCUGGCCCUCUG
rnacentral:vault_RNA from 1 species